UACAGAGGGUGCAAGCGUUAAUCGGAAUUACUGGGCGUAAAGCGUGCGUAGGCGGUUGAAUAAGUUAGACGUGAAAACCCUGGGCUCAACCUGGGGGUGUCGUCUGAUACUGUUUGACUAGAGAACGGGAGAGGAGAGUGGAAUUUCCGGUGUAGCGGUGAAAUGCGUAGAUAUCGGAAGGAACACCCGUGGCGAAGGCGACUCUCUGGCCUGAUUUUGACGCUGAGGCACGAAAGCGUGGGGAGCAAAC
rnacentral:rRNA from 1 species